GCUUCGAUAGCUCAGUCGGUAGAGCGCAGGUCUCAUAUAAUGAUCACUGAUUUCGGUGAGCAAUCCUGAGGUCGUGAGUUCAAGCCUCACUCGGAGCA